rnacentral:rRNA from 1 species
GAUGAACGCUGGCGGCGUGCCUAAUACAUGCAAGUCGAACGAAACUUCUUUAUCACCGAGUGCUUGCACUCACCGAUAAAGAGUUGAGUGGCGAACGGGUGAGUAACACGUGGGCAACCUGCCCAAAAGAGGGGGAUAACACUUGGAAACAGGUGCUAAUACCGCAUAACCAUAGUUACCGCAUGGUAACUAUGUAAAAGGUGGCUAUACUACCGCUUUUGGAUGGGCCCGCGGCGCAUUAGCUAGUUGGUAGGGUAAAGGCUUACCAAGGCAAUGAUGCGUAGCCGAAUUGAGAGGUUGAUCGGCCACAUUGGGACUGAGACACGGCCCAAACUCCUACGGGAGGCAGCAGUAGGGAAUCUUCCACAAUGGGCGAAAGCCUGAUGGAGCAACGCCGCGUGGGUGAAGAAGGUCUUCGGAUCGUAAAACCCUGUUGUUAGAGAAGAAAGUGCGUGAGAGUAACUGUUCACGUUUCGACGGUAUCUAGCCAGAAAGCCACGGCUAACUACGUG